GAUGAACGCUGGCGGCGUGCCUAAUACAUGCAAGUCGAGCGAACGGACGAGAAGCUUGCUUUUCUGAUGUUAGCGGCGGACGGGUGAGUAACACGUGGAUAACCUACCUAUAAGACUGGGAUAACUUCGGGAAACCGUAGCUAAUACCGGAUAAUAUUUUGAACCGCAUUGUUCAAAAGUUAAAGACGGUCUUUCUGUCACUUAUAGAUGGAUCCGCGCUGCAUUAGCUAGUUGGUAAGGUAACGGCUUACCAAGGCAACGAUGCAUAGCCGACCUGAAAGGGUGAUCGGCCACACGGGAUCUGAGACACGGUCCAGACUCCUACGGGAGGCAGCGGUAGGGAAUCUUACGCGAUGGACGAAUGCCUGACGGAGCACAGCCGCGUGAGUGAUGAAGGUCUUCGGAUCGUAAAACUAUGUAAUUAGGAAAGAACAUAUGUGUAAGUAACUGUGCACAUAUUGACGGUACCUAAUCAGAAAGCCACGGCUAACUACGUG
rnacentral:rRNA from 1 species